rnacentral:RNase_MRP_RNA from 1 species
GCUCGCUCUGAAGGCCUGUUUCCUAGGCUACAUACGAGGGACAUGUUCCUUAUCCUUUCGCCUAGGGGAAAGUCCCCGGAAGCUCACAUAGUGACGCAGGCAGUGCGACCUGGCUCGCACCAACCACACGGGGCUCAUUCUCAGCGCGGC